rnacentral:rRNA from 1 species
AGGACGAACGCUGGCGGCGUGCUUAACACAUGCAAGUCGAGCGAGGUCCACUCGGUGGCAACACCGGGGAAGACCGAGCGGCGAACGGGUGAGUAACACGUGAGCAACCUGCCCCGAAGACCGGGAUAACAUCGGGAAACCGGUGCUAAUACCGGAUGCCCUCAGUGGACCGCAUGGUCCGUUGAGGAAAUGGAUUCCGCUUCGGGAGGGGCUCGCGGGCUAUCAGCUUGUUGGUGGGGCAACGGCCCACCAAGGCUACGACGGCUAGCUGGUCUGAGAGGACGACCAGCCACACUGGGACUGAGACACGGCCCAGACUCCUACGGGAGGCAGCAGUGGGGAAUCUUGCGCAAUGGGCGAAAGCCUGACGCAGCAACGCCGCGUGGGGAUGAAUGCCUUCGGGUUGUAACCUCUUUCGACCUCGACGAAGCGUAAGUGACGGUAGGGUAGAAGAAGCACCGGCCAACUACGUGCCAGCAGCCGC